rnacentral:rRNA from 1 species
GACGGAGGGUGCAAGUGUUAUCCGGAAUCACUGGGCGUAAAGCGUCUGUAGGUGGUUUAAAAAAGUCUACUGUUAAAAAUUGAAGCUUAACUUCAAAGAUGCCGUAGAAAACUUUUUAAACUCGAGGAUGGUAGGGGUAGAGGGAAUUUCCAGUGGAGCGGUGAAAUGCGUAGAUCUUGGAAAGACCACCAAUGGCGAGGGCACUCUACUGGGCCAUGACUGACACUAAGAGACGAAAGCUAGGGGGAGCAAAUGGG